AUGGAGGUUUCCACCUUACCCUGCUUGCUACUUGUGUCUGUUGCACUGGCACUCUGUUGUGCAGCUGCAGCACGGCCUGACAGUACAACAGCAAGCCUUGAUGCAGCCACAAUGGCCGCGCAAGAGCUUGACCGUGUCGCGUCACUGCCGGGGGCGCCGAGCUACUCAUAUGCGUUCAAGCACUACUCCGGGUACGUCACGACCGACGAGCACCUCGGCAAGGCACUGUUCUACUGGUUCUUCGAGGCUACGGAGAAACCUGAUGAUAAGCCACUUGUCCUAUGGUUAAAUGGAGGACCUGGCUGUUCUUCUGUAGGGUUUGGGCAGGCGCAGGAGCUCGGGCCAUUUCUUGUGAAGAAAGAAGUGCCUGAGCUUGAGCUCAACCCGUAUGCCUGGAACCAAGCUGCCAACUUGCUGUUCCUGGACUCUCCAGCGGGUGUUGGAUUUUCAUACACGAACACGUCUUUCGAAAUAGAUCCACCGGGAGACAAUUCCACAGCACACGGUUCAUAUGCUUUCCUCGUCAGGUGGUUUCAGAGGUUCCCCCAGCACAAAAUGAAAGAGUUCUACAUAGCUGGAGAGAGCUACGCAGGACACUACAUUCCGCAGUUAGCGAAUGUCAUCGUGGAGGAGAACAAGAAGGCCUCCAAAGAAAACUACAUAAACCUCAAAGGCAUCCUGAUCGGGAACGCGUACAUGGACGGGGACACAGACUUGCAGGGGAUCGUGGACUCGGCGUGGCACCACGCCAUCAUCUCCGACACGCUCUACAGCGCCUUCCUCAAGUCGUGCGACUUCAGCAUGGAGAUCCUGUCUCCGGAGUGCGACGCGGCACUGAGCGAGUUCUUUCUUCUCUACAAACUCAUAGACGUCUACAGCCUCUACACCCCCUACUGCGACCUCGGGUACCCGGCUUUGAACGCCUCAUCCUCGGCGAACAUCGGAGUCGGACAGACCAACGGCCGUUUUGAUCUCCUCAAGAUGCCAAUGGGCUUCGAUCCAUGCACGCAGACGUACGCCACGGAGUAUCUGAACCGUGAGGACGUGCAGAGGGCUCUGCAUGCCAACACCACGGGAAUGCCGUAUCCCUACGUUCUCUGCCGCAAUAGCAUCAACGCUGUGUGGAAGGAUUCCGACAUGACGGUCGUCCCCAUCGUCAAGAAGCUCGCGGAGGAAGGGCUUCGCAUAUGGAUUUUCAGCGGCGACACGGAUGCAAGGAUCCCUACGACGUCGACGAGGUACACGCUGAAGAAGCUCGGCCUGCCCAUCAAGGAGGACUGGUCGCCAUGGUUCAGUCACAAGCAGGUUGGUGGAUGGAGUGUGGUGUACGAUGGCCUGACAUUUGUCACGGUGAGAGGAGCCGGGCACAUGGUGCCAACGUCGCUGCCCGAGCAGGCGCUGGAGCUCUUCAAGCACUUCCUCGCCAACCACAACCUCCCCUCCAAGCCCUUCUAG
rnacentral:rRNA from 1 species